rnacentral:rRNA from 1 species
AGGAAUAUUGGUCAAUGGGCGCAAGCCUGAACCAGCCAUGCCGCGUGCAGGAAGACGGCUCUAUGAGUUGUAAACUGCUUUUGUACUAGGGUAAUUUGCGGUACGUGUACCGUAUUGAACGUAUAGUACGAAUAAGGAUCGGCUAACUCCGUUCCAGCAGCCGCGGUAAUACGGAGGAUGCGAGCGUUAUCCGGAUUCAUUGGGUUUAAAGGGUGCGCAGGCGGGCCUUUAAGCCGGCGGUGAAAUCGCGGGGCUCAACCCCGCCGAGCCGUCGGAACUGGGGGCCUUGAGUGCGGCGGAGGCAUGCGGAAUGCGCGGUGUAGCGGUGAAAUGCAUAGAUAUCGCGCAGAACCCCGAUUGCGAAGGCAGCGUGCCGUGCCGCCACUGACGCUGAGGCACGAAAGCGCGGGGAUCGAACAG